rnacentral:rRNA from 1 species
UACGUAGGGUGCAAGCGUUGUCCGGAAUUAUUGGGCGUAAAGGGCGCGUAGGCGGCUUUUCAAGUGACGGGUGAAAUCCCUCGGCUUAACCGAGGAACUGCCUGUCAGACUGGAAGGCUUGAGACCGGGAGAGGUGAGUGGAAUUCCCAGUGUAGCGGUGAAAUGCGUAGAUAUUCGCAAGAACACCAGUGGCGAAGGCGGCUCACUGGCCCGGUACUGACGCUGAGGUGCGAAAGCGUGGGGAGCAAACAGG